AAUGCGUAAACACUUCAAGUUUGAACUUACUUGAACUUAUGGCUCCUGGUCUCUGAAAUGUAAAAUAGAUUGUGAGCCGGACCUGAAGCUUGAAGUGCUACGUAUGCACAACACUCCUCUUGAAAAGAUCAAUCUGCAGAGGGAAGUGAUGGAAUGAGGAGAGGAAAGUUUUCAAAGUGAGACUGCAGAAGUGGAGGAGGAAGUAGAUAGAUGGCCAGAGGGAGGAGGAGGUGAGACAAGAUUACAGGAAUGGAGGGAGGUGUGCAGAGAGAUGACAUAGCGCCAUGUUGAGAAAUGAAGUAGAGGCCAAGGUGGACUGAAAGGAGAAAGAUGAGCAGGGGAAAAGUUAGUUUGGGACAUGGUGAGAUGAGUCAGAGAAUAGCUGAUGUGUGUGAGUUUGCAGACAUUCGUCUAGGUGGAUAUCUGAGGGUCAGUUGCAGAUAAUGAAAUGACAGCAAAGAACUGGGAUGAGGAGGCUGAAAUGUUGAAUGAUUGAGACCUAAACCUGAUGACUUCAGCAGAAUACACGAGAGAUCUAUUCAACGACUCGAAAGAGGUUGCUUAAAGGCAAAGCCUUUAAAAAUAAUAUUGCAAAAAAGGAUAUGUCCUUCUGGAGCAGAGAAAAGAAAGAAGAAGAAAACAAGAUGAGAAAAAAACAGCAAGAUAAAGGGGGGCCAAUGGGAACGCCCCUGUCCUGCAGGCGAGGAGCACUUUCCAGCACCUGCAUCCGCUGAUCCUACUGGCUAGUCCUUCUACUUCUGUGGACAUUGAGAUCGAUGUCACAUCUACUCCCUCAGCAACUUCCAGUCUACACCAUGGAUCAGCAGCUCCUCCAGAUGACCCAGCUGAGUGGUCAUCUCUCCUGUCCGACUCAGAAGGGACUGAUCUGGUAAGGAGAGGGCCACAGCCUAUAAAGGAAAACUUCACAUUCCCUAAAAAACAUGAUGGCCAAAGCUUCCAUUACCACUAGACGUACAGACAAUUAAUCAAUGGGGAAAAGUCAAGCAGAGCUGGCUCACUUCAAUUCAAAAAGAAAUGAUGCGGUCUACUGCUUCUGCUGCAAAUUGUUCUCAAGAAUGUCCACAAAACUGGUAACAGUGGGACACCAGGUUUGGUGCACUACUGAAACAGCAUGAAAAUACCCCUGAUCAGGCUUGAAACAUUGAACACCCCUUUCCAGAACUGACUUGAAUCACAGACACAGAGGGACCAGUGUAAGCUUCUUGGAGACAAACUCACCUGUGGAAAAGAGGCUGAUGUUGACGGGAGUGCACUGGCUACAGAGAUGGAUAGCCCUCUAGAACUCCCCUAAGCACAUUUGAGCUUCUCACUUACCUCUCUCAAAAUGAGAUCUGUGAGUUGUACCCAAAUGUUUGGAUAGCUCUGCAGAUUGCCUGCACUCUCCCUGUGACUUUUCUAAGCUCAAAUUGAUCAAGAAUUACUUGAGAUCUUCCAUGGCACAAGAAAGACUGAGUGGACUUGCACUAAUUAGUAUCAACAACAGAGUUGGCCGUCAGAUCUCUUACAGUGAUGUCAUAAACGACUGCCUCCAGAAAAGCCAGGAAACACAGAUUCUAAGGAGGAAGUGGAAUAUUGACAUAGUUUGUAAGAGGAAGAAAUAGGAAGAUUAAAUGUCUGAAUUAAAGUAGUUUAUUUUGGAAUUUUUCAAAUUUUUUCUGAGCCUUUUGCACAUGUGUACAUAGUUUUCAAAAAUAAUUAUUCAGCUUUAUAUUUUAUUCUUAAACCAUUAUUGUUAUCUUGUUACAGGUUCCUCUGUUCAAGUAUGCAUUUAAUAGUGUCUGUUUUUUACAUUUGCAUUUAUUUUUCAUAUAAGAAGGAAACUUUACUGAGGGAGGUACUGUUUAUCUAAGUUAAUUGAUUUUAAUUGUAGUUGAUUGUUGUUCUGCACUUUUGCACACAUUUUUUAAAACAAAGGCAGUUAAAGUGGUUAACUUGUUUACAGUAAAUGCUUUACUUUUCAGUCCACCACGUUCAGUAUAUCACUUUGAUUAUAAAAGUGCAAAUUAACACCAGACCAUUCUUGUGAGUUUGCUACCUUUUAAGAUUAAAAACCAUAGAAGGGUAAAAACAUGCCAGGCUGACAUUGGCAUGAUGUAAGCAAGACAGCUACAACUAAUAAAAUUGAUAAUGGGUGUGUUAGAUUUACGGUAUGUGUGCGCCGAGGUGGUUGGGGGGCCCCAAAUCAAAUUCUGCUUAGGGCCAAUAAAGACUUGGGCCAGCCCUGCUUAAAGGUGAAGGCCAGAAAGAGUGCUGUUCAGCAUAAUGUCUUUGUGUGACCAAGUGAUGAAAAGAAGAACCUUGAAAUAACUGAUAAUUACAACACGAUAACAUAAGCAACAAAAAGUCUCCUUAGCAUCCAUAAAUUAGCAAUACUUUUAGCUUAAUUUUACAAUCAACUAAUAUAUUUACAAAUGUUUACAUGGAGAAUGGUGUGAUAAAUCAAAAACUCACCAACACACUGUCAAUUAUGAAUGUGUUAAUUUUGUGUUUUGCCUUAACAUAAACAUCAAAUCCAGUAGAACAUUAGAUUCACAUGCUGUUGUUGUAAUUUAUCUUAAUUUAAUCAAUAAUCAGUUAUAUAUUAUUAAAUAUUUUUUUUACAUCUUUAA